rfam:Felis catus isolate Cinnamon breed Abyssinian chromosome A3, whole genome shotgun sequence.
GCCUGGGUGGCUCAGUCGGUUGAGCAUCUGACUUUGGCUUAGGUCAUGAUCUCACAGUUUGUGGGUUUGAGCCCCGCAUCGGGCU